rnacentral:lncRNA from 1 species
GUGGCCGGCUUCCUGACUGGGAGACUGCUGUGGCAGAACAGUCGCACAGAGGGACAAAGAGCCACAGCUGUGGGACACAUGAAGGCCGCCAGCUGGGGCACAGCGGGGCAGGACAGACGGGCGGAGUCGCAUCUGCCACCGAGCUCCAGGGGCUGGGCAGGACUCGCCAUCCCACCUGCUGCUCUCCCUCUGUGGCUGGUUUUAUCCCAUUAUGCUAUUUAUUGGACCUUCUCCGGGAAGUUGCCUGGAAUAGCGAUGCCCAAGUUUCCCGCUCCGCUCCGUCUGACAGCUGGCGCGUGUCUAACAACACAAAGGCGGAGAAGAAAGGUUGCUCAUCAAAAUAUUUUGAAGGCAUUGCUGUCAAGCACGCAGACACACAACAUGGAUAAGUACUUGAGUUUCCCAACAGCGUCCAGAAGGAAAUCUUUCCAUCCUGGGGACAGCGAGUGAGUUUCAGAAAAGCUGGAUUCCGAAGCCCAUCCUCUUCCGAGGGCACAUUUCGACACACACGGGUGUGGACAUGCAUUUCAGGAUGACUAGCAUUUUAGCAAGGAUUUUGAUUUUGAGUGUGUCCUUUGUUUCUGUAGUAUGAAAAGAGCUGAUUUUAGUAAAUUUCCACCAAGAAAAUCAUACUCUCACAGACUUUGGAGCAAUAAAACCUGGAACAGCCAAGGCCAUGGUGGACAACUGGGGAGCUAAGAG